AGGACGAACGCUGGCGGCGUGGAUUAGGCAUGCAAGUCGAGCGAUAUCUUACCUUCGGGUAAGUGAAAGCGGCGAACGGGUGAGUAACACGUGAAUAACCUGCCCUCACAUUCCGGAUAAUAGACCGAAAGGUCUUGUAAUACGGGCGAGGAUUUCUCUUAGGCAUCUUAGAGAAAGGGAAGGCGCAAGCCGUGCGAGGAGGGGUUCGCGGAUUAUCAGGUAGUUGGUGGGGUAACGGCCUACCAAGCCUGCGACGAUU
rnacentral:rRNA from 1 species